UACUUCUUGCGACCAUAAGGAGGUAAAAUAAAUUCUGUUAAAAGAAAAAAGAUCGAAGGGAAAAUACAAGUUUGUUUGCAUAUUGGGUAGGAUAAAAAAUCUUAAGAAGAAGAAGAAGAAACUCAAAUUGCACCAAAGCUGCCGAGUUUGUUUGCAUAUUGGAGUGAUGUUUUGGGGUGGUUUGAUCAAAUAAAGACAAGAAAUUCUUUGUUGUUUGUUAAAUUGGGUAUCAACUUAGGAUUUGAGUCUUCUGCAUUCUGAAUUUUCACAUUUGAAGUUAACAAUCAAUGGCAUGAAGUAUCCAACCACAUUUGCUCCAUCAUCAACUGCCUUCCUCCUCAGUUGAGUUAAAUAGCCUUUCUAAUAGUUUAUUUCAGGUCUUCCUUCUUCAUUCUUGGAAAAGGAGUUCUGGCAUGAGAUGGCUCAUGGAGAGAAGGAAACAGUCGACUUGAGUAUAGAGUCAAUGUUGAGGGCAGUGCCUUUUCAUGAGAUCCUGAUGAUAGGCUUGGAAUAAGCAAAUGGAAUUUGAAGGUUGUUUGUUUUUCAGACUUUAUGCUGACUCUAUUUCUUAAUAUCUUCACUCCUGCAUCUGAUUUUCAAUUUUCAUACAUUGCUUCUCAUAAUCUUAAUUUAUUGUC